CCACUUAGCCAUAUAAUAGUAAUGGGUUCUGGUCUGGGGACAGACGGUGAUACAGUAGAGCAGAGAAUAUCCAGAUGGGUCAUUUUCCGUUUGUCUUGGAGCCUGUCCCUACAGCUCUGCCAUACUU